AAUUCAAUUAUAGGGAUAAUAUUAUUAUUUUCUAUUUAUAACUACCAACUAUUCCUCUUAUUCCCAAAAACCAUCCAAACACAAUUUUUCUAGUUCCAGCUUAUACUCACAAUUUCAUCCAAACAAAAAAAUACCCUUAUUUCUACAAAAACUCAUGCUUGUACCUAUCCCCGGUAUAACUAGUUCCUACUAAUUCCCGAUCCAAACGGAGCCUUAGUGGGUGAGCCGUUGAGGUCGGUAGCGGUUCCCACUGAGAGCUACUUCUUUUUGCAAUAGUUCUCACACCCAGUUGUUUACCCCUUUUUGCAGAGCAUUCAUCUGCGGCUGCUGCUGUUACAGAUUCUAAUCGUGGAAAGGGAGUUGCGAGCUAGAUCCUUUCUAGUCUUACUACAGUGCUAGAGGAGUACAUUCCAUAGGUAGUUUUGGGGUAUUUUUGUACAUAUGGUUGUUGUCUGUGUACUCGCUGGAGCGAGUGGUGUAGUAGACAUUUUGUAUGUACUGGAACCCCUCGAGGUUUUUAUAUAUGUAUGUUUUCAGUUUAGCCGCUCUCUACCUUGUGGUUGUAGCUUGGUUAUGUUUACAAGUACAGCUAUCGCUUCGUAUACAGAAAAAAUUUCUAUAUAUACGGCGGGUCUGUUGGCAUGCCCGAAAAAAUGUGUAAUCCGGGGCGUGACAGAUUAAGUUGGUAUCAGAGUUUAGCGUUAGGUCGUUGGGACCUAGAAAACCUUAAGCUUGGCAAACCUCAGAAAAGCAAGACGUGAGAGGCAUGAUUUAUCGCGAAAGUCAGCGAUUGAAUUGUUUUAACUCCUCCUAGAGUGGAGUGAGUGACUGAAGGAGUGUCUGUUUCGGCCAAGAAAAUUAUGUCGACUGCAGACGACAUAUUUUGAGGAGAAAUAGGGGCGGCCUUCUAAACUUUCGCUUGAUUGGGUCGAGAGUUGAUUGUGUUUUGUGUCUGACCCUUGUUUUGAUUUCAGGUAGCCAUGUAUCGAUGCCGAGGUCGACCGUCGACACGGGAUCGUUCCGCGCUAUCAGAGAUGCUUGGGCAGGCAAGGUCGAGUGCACCCACAGAUUUGAGAGAGCAGUUGACUGCCCUGACUAAGGUGAUCAGGCAGUAGGGUGUGCUUUUGCAGAGGAUGUGCGAGAUUGUUACUUAGCGGUCGGGUGUUAAUCCAAGAGCAUCUGUGCAGCAGGCACUCUGGGAAGAGCAAGGAGCUAUAGCAGUUCAGGAGCCGUCAACGGUGCCAAUGCAGAGAUAGGAUAGAAAGUGCCCGGUUCUGGAUUAUGGAGAUCCUUUCAGUGGUAGACGUUCACCGAGGUCUCCACAAUCGUGCUCUCAGGGUCGUGGAUUCUCAUCACGACAGCGCUCUGGUGGGUCUUGUCCGCAGCGACAGCAGCAUAGGGUUCCACGGUGUAGCAUUUUUGGGGGACCAUACUGGCCUCGAUGGUGCGAGCAGAAGGAGGGCCGGUGUUUUAGAUGUGGACAAUCAGGGCAUCGACGGGUGGCUUGUCCUCGCGUAGCAUCGUCAGCACUUUCGACGGGGUCGGCCCCACUGGUAUCUUACUAGGCUUUUGAAAUACCGCCGAGCUACAGACAUGCAGAUGGAGUUGCUGUGCUGCAGCAAAGUGAGCAGCGAGAGCAGACAUCAAGUGGUAGCAGGUAUCAUUUUGAUUUCUAGUAUCUGGGUUCAUGCAUUAGUUGAUACCUGUGCAUCUCAUUCUUUUGCUAGUUAAGCAUUUGCAUCAUUGCAUGGUUUUGAGAUAGGGCCACUGUUGCAUGCAUGUGAGGUGCAAAUUCCUGAUCAUGGUUUGUAGGUGGCCGAGUGUUGUUGGUUUUGUCUAGUGAGAUUGGGCUUUUUGAUUUUGCCUACAGACCGGUUAGUCUUGGGGCAGUGUAGGACUUUUAUGUAGUGCUUGGGAUAGUUUGGUUGGCUUGGUACUAUGUUACGAUCGAUUGUGGAGCGAGGACAGUGACGUUCCGCGAGCCAGGCCAGAAUGAGUUCCCGUACAGAGGCUGCAGGAGUAAGUUGUUUGCCAUUUGGAUUUCGUCAGUGAGGGCUUGACAGCUGAUGAGUAGAGGAUGCGUCGCUUUUGUUGAGUAUUAUGUGUUGGCAAGUUUCGUGAACUGAGUCAAAGUCUUGAAGGGUUUGGUGCAUAUUGUCGAAGAUUGAAGAAUCCAAGACUUCGAAGAAAUCAGAAAUAUCUCAUGAUAUGAAUCGCGAUGCUCAGGUAAAGUAUAAAUUCAUGUUAUGGUGAUUUAUACUUAGUUAUAUACAUUAGAAUUAUGAAAAUCAAAGUUUAGUGGAUUAGAAAGUGCUUUGGAACUUUGAAACCGGAGAUUGUGAAAUUCUAAAAACUGCAGGUGUUAACCGGUACAACACUGAAAGAGUACCGGUACCGCAGCUAGUUCUGGUACGGCAUCAGCAUGUUAACCGAUUCUCAGUAUAUAGAAUUUUCUGUGUUGUCUUUUGGUACCGGUACCAACUUGAUAUAGUACCGAUACGCAGUGUAAAAAUCUGAAAUCUUUCUAAUCCGACUCUAACUGAUUCUAAGGUCUAUAAAUAAGCUAUUGGGGUUCUCUAACUUAUAGAACAUCACGAGAAUACCUGUUUGAGAAACUCUAGAGGCCAGGAUUUCGUUCUAAACCUAUUUUCUAUAAAGUAGCCUCUUUUAGGUCAAUUCGAGGUAUUGAAAAUUGAUAUCUAUAUGUCGAAUUGAUCUACACUUCGCUUAGAGAUUCUUCUCUGGUUUUCAUCAAUACUCUAAGCGAAGGAUCACCAUAAUCAUGAUGUUCUUCAUAGACGGCGUUGUGGAUUCGGCGUGAUCGAAGGCGGUUCGAGGAUUUGGAUCGUGUGCUCGUGGAUUCGAGUGGCGUUCGUGGAUUCGGGCGUGUGCAUGGCGUUCGUGGAUUCGAACGUGAGGGGGUGGACAACUCAGAGGAUUACGCGAGAUUCAUAGGAGGUUACUGUGGAGUCGGUAAUCACCUUGUAAUCUUUUCUCUUAGUGAAUUAUUUUUUCGCUUGUUGGUCCCGUGGGUUUUUUACUCCAAGUUGGAGUUUUUCCACGUAAAUCUCGGUGUAAUUUUUAUUUUCCGUAUUUAAUUUUUAUCGCAUUGAGAUUUUUGGUUUUUCGCCGUUAUACCUAUUCAUCCCCCUUUAGGUGUUUGAUACAAUCUUUAUAGAUCCUAGGGCUCCUCGUAACUUAUAGCUUUCUUGGCGACUGUAGUAGAAGUGUCUACGGCGGCGCUGGGACCCGAGGAUAUCCUUAUAGUCCGUGAGUUUCCUAAUAUUUUUUCCUUAGAGUUGACGACUAUGCCACCGGAUAGAGAGAUUAAGUUUGUGAUUGACGUAGUUCUUGGAACUGCGCUAAUCUCCAAGGCACCCUACCGAAUGGCACCGGCAGAGCUGAGAGAGCUGAAGGCACAGUUUCAGAAUCUGAUGGAUAAAGAGUAUGUGAGACCCAGUGUAUCGCCUUGGGGAGCGCCGGUAUUGUUUGUAAAGAAGAAUGAUGGUUUACUUAGGUUGUGUGUGGAUUACCGGGAGCUGAAUAAAGUGACCAUUAAGAACAAGUAUCCUUUGCCGCGCAUUGAUAAUCUGCUCGAUCAUCUGCAAGGAUCUUGUGUCUUUUCGAAGAUUGAUCUCCAGUCAGGUUUCCACCAGUUGAGGGUGAAGGCCGAGGAUGUUCCUAAGACUACUAUUCGAACUCGGUACGUGCAUUCUAAGUUCACUGGAAUACCUUUUGGAUUGACGAAUGCCCCUGCCGCAUUUAUGAAUUUGAUGAAUAGAGUGUUUAAGCUGUUCUUGGAUAGAUUUUGGUUGUGUGCUGAUGCAGCAUAGUAGGUUAAUUACUUAUGCUUCUCGAAAAUUAAAGGAUUACGGGAAGAAUUACCCUACGCAUAACUUGGAACUUGACGCGGUGGUUUUUGCUUUGAAGUUUUUGCAGCACUACUUGUAUAGCGAGCACUGUGAGGUUUUCACUGAUCAUAAAAGUCUCAAGUAUUUGUUCACCCAAAAGGAGUUGAAUCUGAGGCAACGCCGGUGGUUGAAGUUAUUGAAGGACUAUGAUGUUAGUAUUCAGUAUCACCCAGGCAAGGCGAACAUGGAGGCAGAUGUGUUGAGCAGAAAGUCAGUGCAGAGCUUGAGCAUGUUGAUUACUAAGCAGAGGCCGUUACUUGAGGAGCUGCAGCGGUUGAGACUCGAGGUAGUGUCCUCUAGGUCUACUGCAAGACUGAUGUUUAUGGUCUUGCAGCCCACUCUGUUAUACAGGAUCAGGGAGAAACAGAGUGGAGACUCUCACUUGUUGAGGAUUCGAGAGCAGUUGGAGAGGGGACAGACAGAGUCUUUUUUUAUGGACAGUUCGGGAGUACUGCGAUACAAGGACCGACUGUGUGUGCCUAUGGAUUCAGAGAUCCGAGAGAAAAUUUUGAGAGAGGCUCAUUACUCACCUUAUACAGUUCACCCUGGUGGAACCAAGAUGUAUAAGGACUAGAAGGCACACUUUUGGUGGAAUGGAAUGAAGAGGAAUAUUGGCAGAUUUGUAGCUUAGUGUCUGACUUAUCAACAGGUAAAGGCAGAGCAUCAGAUACUUGCUGACAAGCUCCAGAGUCUGCCAGUGCCCGAGUGAAAAUGGGAGUAGAUUACGAUGAACUUUGUCGUGGGAUUGCCGAGAACAUAGGGUGUUUUCGAUGCUGUUUCGGUGAUAGUGGACAGACUGACUAAGUCUGCUCACUUCCUACCAGUAUAGACCACCUGGUCCAGGGAGAGACUCGCUCAGCUAUAUUUGGAUGAGAUUGUGAGGAUGCAUAGUGUGCCUACUUCGAUAAUAUCGGAUAGAGACCCGAGGUUGGUUUCGCACUUUUGGAUGAGUCUUCAGACAGCCUUGGGUACACAAUUGCAUUUAAGCACGGCGUUUCACCCACAGACAGAUGGUCAGUCAGAGCGGACCAUUCUGACUCUGGAAGACAUGCAGAGGGCAUGUGUCCUGAACUUUGGAGGAGGGUUGUAUCGACAUUUGAGAUUGGCUGAGUUCGCGUACAACAACCGCUGUCAAACGAGCAUUCGGAUGGCUCCAUUUGAGGUGUUGUAUGGAACUAGGUGUCGAUCCUCUUUGCAUUGGAGUGAUGUGGGUGAGAGGAUCUGAGACCUGAGAUUCUGAUAGAGGCAGAGGAAAAGGUUAAGAUUGUAUGACGACAUAUUUUGGCAGCCCAGAGUUGACAAAGGAACUACGCCGAUACUAGGAGACGAGACUUAAAGUAUCAGGUUGGAGACCAUGUGUUUUUGAAAGUCUCGUCAUCCCGAGGGAUACACAGAUUAGGGGUACGUGGAAAGCUCAGUCCACACUUUGUAGCCCCUUUCGAGGUAUUGGAGCGAGUUGGACCAGUAGCAUAUAGGAUUGCUCCACCCCCACGACUAGCCGGUGUUCAUGAUAUUUUUCACGUCUUAGUAUUGAGGAGAUACGUGUUCAACCCCUCACACGUGAUUGACUUCACUCCACUGGAGCUUGGCGAGGAUUUGAGAUACGAGGAGCGACCGGUGCUGAUUCUGGCUCGUUAGACGAAAGAAUUACGCAAUCGGGUCAUCCCGUAUGUAAAAGUGCAAUGGAGCAAACACGAGGAGUAUGAAGCGAGAGCCGGAGACGGUGAUGCAGAAGUCCUACCCUUUCUGAUUGAGAUAUACGUUAAGUUUCGAGGACGAAACUUUUUAUAGUGGGGGAGGAUGUAGUAUCCCUGAUUUUUGGGUUGCCCGUGGAUCUCAACAUCUGAGGCUUAUCGACAUAUCUGGAGAGUGUCGGAACAAGUCAGAGUCGUUUUGGCACGAAAUGGACGCAAAACGGACUCAGCGUGACGUGAGAGUAGUGUAUUGACAUUGGAAUCUGCAAAGUGCAGGUUUUCAGUAUUGAGUAUCGAUACCGCGCAGGAGAGUACGGUACCCCAGUGUAAAUCCUGGACAGCAUGCUCUCGGGUUCCGCCAAUUGAUGUUGAGUACCGGUACAGCAUCGGGCUGGUAUCGGUACCUGGUGUGCGAGCUUGUGGGCUGAGAGGCCGAGUACCGAUAAACAAAUCGGGUACCGGUACUCCAGCUAGAAUUUUGAGUUGGUAAGGGGUAUUUUGGGUAGAGAUAUGUCGAUACCUUCAAUCUUAUCCCAAUCGCUUUAUAUUUGUGUAGAGAUGCAGAGAGUGAGCUUCUGGUUGCUACUUCCUCUCUCUCUCUAGUUGGAGUCGACACUCGGGGUGGAGUCGCGGCUCGAGCUUGGGAGUUUGUCGCCGUUGCGCCGGAGGGUCAUUCGAGCGUGUAGGCAUCGCGGUUGCGUCGUUGGAGACCGGGCUAGCGCGUGUUUUUCCUCCUUUUGACUUCUCGCCGUAGUUGAACAAGCUUUUCGAGGUGGUUUGAUGUUUACCGAACUCGUCGGAUUUUCUUCUAAGUUUUAUCAACGUCAACAUGUGUUUCUUGGUUCAUUGGUUUAUCCUGCUAGUACUCGAAUUCAUGGAAGUUAUAGGUUAUGCUAUAGAAUCUGAAUUUGGAGAUAAGCUAGUAAUUACGCUUGUUGGACUUGGAAUUGACUUAGGAAAACACUUGUAGAUCCUACAUUGUCAUUUCUGAAAAUUACCAGAUUUAGCUUUAGGAGCUAUUGUUCGUUUGUAUCGCCGUUGUUUGUAUACGAUGGAUACCUAGAUUAGUGUAGGGUGAGUUUACGCUCGUGCUGGGAUGCCAAACUUAUUUUACAGUAGUGUGUAGACUGUUUUGGACUGUCGGUGCCGUCGGGGUUGACGGUGGACCCAGAUUUCUGUAUCAUCGCUGUUAGUGCGAGGUGGAUACUCAGAUGGGUGUAGGUUGAGUUUACACUCACGCUAUGGAGCCGAGUGUGUUGUUACAAUAGAGUUAGACUGUGUUGGAUAGUCGGGUGCCGUCGGGGUUGACGGUGGACCAGAGUUAUGCGGUUGCAUCAGAUUGUGCCAAGGGCAAGUGAGUUUUGGUGGAUAAAUCAUUUUGGCCCUUUACAGUGAUUACAGCCUGUGAGAGCAUAAAUGAACUUCGCAGAGACACUUGUAAACCUGGUUGGGUCGCGCCCACGAAUGCCAUUCCGGAAUGAGGUUUCAGUGCGAUGAGUGUCGCAGUUUCUGUUGGGACGGUUCUUGAGCUGUAUCAGGCAGGGUGGAUCCGUUUGGGCAGCUCGUGCGAGGUUGGGUCAGUGAAAGUUAGUGACAUCUUUCUCUACCUUCAUUGAGGUUGUGUUGUGUGUUGAGUCGCAGCAGUCCUGUCGGACCUUUUUACUUGGACCGGCUACUCUUGGGAUACGGUGUAGCCUAGAUAGGCGAAAUUGGUGUAUUUACAGUCCCUAGAGAAUUUUCUCCACCGGCUAAUUUUGGGGUGGUAUACGAGUUCGCUUCGAUAGGUGGGAUGAGUGUAUUUACUGUCCCUAGUGAGAUUAUGUCAGUGAGUGCAUUUUCUAUAUCUACAGAUAGUGGUUAGCGAUAGUAUAAUGGUAUAUAGCUAUAGUGUUUUACCAGUAUCAUUUACUAUACUUGUGCAUACUUUCUGUAGACUUAGAGGGUGAGCCGUUGAGGUCGGUAGCAGUAUCCACUGAGAGCUACUUCUUUUUGCAAUAGUUCUCACACCCAGUUGUUGACCCUUUUUGCAGAGCCUUCGUCUGCGGCUGCUGUUGUUACAGAUUCUGAUCGUGUAAAGGGAGUUGCGAGCUAGAUCCUUUCAAGUCUUACUGCAGUGUUAGAGGAGUACAUUCCACAGGUAGUUUUGGAGUAUUUUUGUACAUAUGGUUAUUGUCUGGGUACUCGCUGGAGCGAGUGGUGUAGUAGACAUUUUGUAUGUACUGGAACCCCUCGAGGUUUUUAUAUAUGUAUGUUUAUAGUUUAGCAGCUCUCUACCUUAUGGUUGUAGCUUGGUUAUGUUUACAGGUACAGUUAUCGCUUCGUAUACAGAAAAAAUUUAUGUAUAUGGUGGGUCUGUUGACGUGCCCGGGAAAUGUGUAAUUCGGGAUGUGAUAGACAGUGACGACGAUUCCUUUUGUCAUAGCAGGGGGGGAGGUGGGCAUGCAUUUGUGAAAGAAAUGGAGGGAGGUGAAAGUGUACAGGAAAAGAUAAAGAAGAGAGAAUUGGUAAAUUAAUUGAAAAUAGAGAGUUGGGGAUUAUAGAUAGCAGCGGGCCGUUUGGAUGCAUUUGUCACGCCCCGGGGUCCCUUUUAU
rnacentral:lncRNA from 1 species